AUAGGUGUUCCCGCCCCACCCUGCAGGCUGUGCGCGAGCGCGGUGGGCGUGGGUUCCGCGGCGUAGAAGCCGAGUAGGCGGGACUCGCUGUCCGCGCGGCUGAGCUGGCGCUUGAGCCGCGCUCUUGUCGGGGCGGGGGCGCCCCGGGGGUGGCGUCCCGGGGGAGAGGGGCGCUGUGGACUUGGGCUUACCGGCGUUAGCGUGCGGGCGGUUUGCUGCCUGCGUUACCGUGAUUUUCUGACGCCCCGUCGGGUGGAGGGGCGGCUGCUGGGCUCCUAGGCUGCGGUCGGAGAUGCUGCGAGGAGGGACCCAAGGUCAGCGAGGCUGGGCGUCGUUCUCGCUCCCUGUCCCCGGGCUCGGGUCCUCCGCUGGCCCGCGGAGAUGUUGAGCAGCACGAGCCCAGGUCGUGGCUUCGGCGGGCCUGUGGGAAGGGCUAGGCCCAGCGCUCCCUGUGCUGAAGACUGUCCUUGCGGAACACAACCCCCACGCCCACCCCGAACGAGUCUCGGCAUCCUUAGCUUUGUAUGUGCUGCCUGCCGCGUGUUAUCCCUAAGGCCUGGGAUUGAACCAAGGCGGACACCCUUGUGGCGUUAACGAAAGAAGUCGUACAAGGCAAGCCUCCCUGAGCAGCAGCAGUUCUGUGCAACUUCCCUGCGUUGCCUUGGAACACACUGGUGCAACAUGAGACCGAAAAUUCUGCGUAAGGAAAUCGAGGAACACUCAGACUGAGGAAGGUCACGGGGCUUACAUCUCCUGGUGGCAGCACCUCUUCCUGUGGGACAGAGGAAGAUGAAAACCACUCAGAAAGCUACUUAUUGGGCCUGGAUUAGAGCAAAGGGAGGUUGAAACUUCGUUUUUAAUUUUUUAUUAAGAAUUUCCAAACACACGUAAAAGAAUUGUUAUAGUGAACAUCUGUAUGCUUAUCAUCAGAUUCAACAAUAAAUUUUUUGCCUUUUUGGGUUCACUGA